rnacentral:lncRNA from 1 species
UUAUUUGAAUACAGAUUGUUAAUAUGGAAAUUUACCCGAAUUAUUUAAAGUAAUUAUUAUAAGUAACCCAGCAGGGGACAGCAGAAUAGGCUGAUACUUGAAUUCCGUCUUGGUUGGUCUGUAUUUCUAAGCAUUGAUUUCGUGUGUUUGUGUCGUUAAUCUUUGGUGACUUGGUCAUGUAGUAAGAAUAUUUCUUUCAAGAUUUGAAUAAGGUGCGUUUGUGUCAGUGUUGGUCAUUAGUGUUAUUUGAUUUUAUUUUAUUCAUGAUUUUGUAUCAACGACAUUAAAAUUGACGUGGCACAGCGCUGUGGCGUCAUGUUAAAAAGUUUCAUAAAGUCUUAUUAAACUGUAGUUUAUAUUUCUUGUGUGUGUUUUAUUGGUCUUGGAGUAUGAAGUUAAUUAUCAACUAUAGUAAUACGUUUAAGUGAAUUUGUUUUAUUCAGUGGUUUUAUACGUUUGCGUAAAGAG